rnacentral:rRNA from 1 species
AGAAUCAACGCUGGCGGCGUGCCUAACACAUGCAAGUCGAACGAGAAAGUGGAGCAAUCCAUGAGUAAAGUGGCGCACGGGUGAGUAACACGUGACUAACCUACCCUUGAGUGGGGAAUAACUUCGGGAAACCGAGGCUAAUACCGCAUAACACCUACGGGUCAAAGGAGCAAUUCGCUUAAGGAGGGGUCGCGGCAGAUUAGUUAGUUGGCGGGGUAAUGGCCCACCAAGACGGUGAUCUGUAUCCGGCCUGAGAGGGCGCACGGACACACUGGAACUGAAACACGGUCCAGACUCCUACGGGAGGCAGCAGUGGGGAAUUUUGCGCAAUGGGGGAAACCCUGACGCAGCAACGCCGCGUGGAGGAUGAAGUCCCUUGGGACGUAAACUCCUUUCGAUCGGGACGAUUAUGACGGUACCGGAAGAAGAAGCCCCGGCUAACUUCGUGCCAGCAGCCGC